rnacentral:rRNA from 1 species
AAUACGAAGGGACCUAGCGUAGUUCGGAAUUACUGGGCUUAAAGAGUUCGUAGGUGGUUGAAAAAGUUAGUGGUGAAAUCCCAGAGCUUAACUCUGGAACUGCCAUUAAAACUUUUCAGCUAGAGUAUGAUAGAGGAAAGCAGAAUUUCUAGUGUAGAGGUGAAAUUCGUAGAUAUUAGAAAGAAUACCAAUUGCGAAGGCAGCUUUCUGGAUCAUUACUGACACUGAGGAACGAAAGCAUGGGUAGCGAAGAGGAUUAGAUACCCUCGUAGUCCAUGCCGUAAACGAUGUGUGUUAGACGUUGGAAAUUUAUUUUCGGUGUCGCAGCGAAAGCGAUAAACACACCGCCUGGGGAGUACGACCGCAAGGUUAAAACUCAAAUGAAUUGACGGGGACCCGCACAAGUAGUGGAGCAUGUGGUUUAAUUCGAAGAUACGCGCAGAACCUUAUCAAUACUUGAUAUGUUCGUCGCGACUUUGAGAGAUCAAAGUUUUCGGUUCGGCCGGACGAAACACAGGUGCUGCAUGGCUGUCGUCAGCUCGUGUCGUGAGAUGUUGGGUUAAGUCCCGCAACGAGCGCAACCCUCACUUUUAGUUGCCAUCAUUAAGUUGGGCACUCUGAAAGAACUGCCAGUGAUAAGCUGGAGGAAGGUGGGGAUGACGUCAAGUCCUCAUGGCCCUUACGUGUUGGGCUACACACGUGCUACAAUGGUAUCUACAACAGGAAGCAAGACUGCGAAGUUAAGCAAAUCCUUAAAAGAUACCUCAGUUCGGAUUGCACUCUGCAACUCGAGUACAUGAAGCUGGAAUUACUAGUAAUCGCGGAUCAGCGCGCCGCGGUGAAUACGUUCCCGGGUCUUGUACACACCGCCCGUCACACCAUGGGAGUUGGUUCUACCUUAAGGCAAAGUUUAAAACCUUUGACCACGGUAUAGUCAGC